GCUGGGCACAGUGGCACGUGCCUGUAGUCCCAGCUACUCAGGAGGCUGAGGUGGGAGGAUCUCUUGAGUCCAGGAGUUCUGGGCUGUAGUGCGCUAUGCCGAUCAGGUGUCUGCACUAAGUUCGGCAUCAAUAUGGUGACCUCCCGGGAGCGAGGGACCACCAGGUUGCCUAAAGAGGAGGGAACCAGCCCAGGUAGGAAACCGAGCAGGUCAGAACUCCCAUGCUGAUCAGUAGCGGGAUCACGCCUGUGAAUAGCCACUGCACUCCAGCCUGGGCAACAAGAGCAAGACCUCAUCUCU
rnacentral:SRP_RNA from 1 species